UGAGAAUUUACUGUACAGUUUUUUUAAACAAUUUAUUUAUAUGUUGGCUUCUACAUGCUCUUACAUUCGUGUAAACAUUUAUACAUAUUCUUUACAAUUUGUACAUAUAUCAAAUGGCUAUAGCAUAAACAUUGUUCUAUGGGAUUUUAUAGAAGAAAAAUCAAGUGGGGAGAAUUACUUAUGAAACAUUAACAAAAACCCGUGAUAUUGAAGAACAACAUGUUCUCAUAUUCAUUUGAUUUCAUCUACUUAUUUUUGGUGUCAUUUUAUUGAUGCUGGCCCAGACUUUCCAUUUCCCGUAAUUAUUAGGUCAGAAAAAUGAAAGCAGCGGGAGGGAACGCGGUAAGGCACCUGUGGGAGACGGGAGCGCUCCUCCGCAGGGGUGAGACGGUGGCUGCCAGUGUUGAGUUCGAGCUGACGGUGUGCCAAGGUCCUGUUUUGCUUUAUGCCGUUAAGUGAAGCGCUGGAAGUGCUGGUGCUCAGAAACACCCUGUGUGAAGUUUCGGAUGUAGUCAGGAAGGGCGCUGGUCUAUUCUCUCUCUCCAACCUCAGAGCGCUGGGGACUCUGUACACUGCUGAGGCUGCAGCCCUUCUCAGUCCCUACACUUUUCCAUCUAAUGGGGAGCUAACCUGUGCUUUUUCUCUUUGCUGAUUACACCAACUGGCCAUGAACCCGCCACCCAAGCCAAGCAGUGUGCCGUGCCCGCAGCAGCGCUUCUCAUCACGGUGGAUGAGGAGCCAAAGAAUAAGAAAGGGCCAGAGACGCCGGGGUGCUGGGUGCCCUCCUUCCCCCAGGCCCUCCCGAGCACAGGCCUCCGCACAGCCACUCACCCGUCGGACCAAAGCCACAAAAUUCUCUACAAAGUCCCUCAAUUCUUCUAAUGUAUUCUUCAUGGCAUAAAACAUGCCUUAACCAAGAUUAGGAAGGAAGUGCAAAGAGAGAAAGCACUGGUCCUCACAUAAGAGCAGCACAUCAGAAAUGACGCUGAGGACACGGGUGGCCAGGGGUAUCUGCUCAUCUGCCAGGCUGUGGGGUCCCCCUGGAGGGACAUGGGAUGGCCCACCUGCCACACACCACGAUGGCACUAGCAGCCCCAGGGGCCCCCAGCGUCCUCCCUCUUGAAGUGUAAGCACUUGAGCUGUAACUGUGGCAGUGAAAGGCGUAACGACUUCCCUCAAUGAUAGGAGCCCCAGAGGACUGAAAGGAGUUAUAAAAAUAUACAAACAUAGAUAUUUUUUAUUCUGGCAUAGUUCAUAUUUUUAAGAAAGUAAUUAGUAAUUAAUUAUCUGACACUGGGUAAGAACUGGAAGAUUGUGGGAGACUUAUAAAUUAUAUAAGACUUAUAAUUUAUAAGACAUAUAAAUUAUGACUCUAUGUAAAAUAUCAGUGGGGAGAAGCCCCUCAUUUUCCACUGAAAAUUCUGGUAACUUUUAAGUACUUUCCAAAAAUAGAGACAAUUUCCACUGGUUUAAAUAAUGGAUGGGGAAAUGAACAAAAGACCAUCCCUAAAUAACUGACGCAUUUAGGGUGGCUAAUAAAAUAAAUGCAGUUUUUUGCAACUCUUUCUUUUUGGUUUUGUUUCCUUUUUUUUCUGAAUCAUAGGGGAAAAAAAGUUUUGAAUUGCAUUGCCCCAAGUCAGGAGAAAGCACGCGGCAUUCUCUUCAAGGCCCGUUCUGUCCUACAUCACUGGAAAGCGGCUGAGGGCCUGCCUCAGCUUUUC
rnacentral:lncRNA from 1 species